UACGUAGGGGGCAAGCGUUGUCCGGAUUUAUUGGGCGUAAAAGGCUUGUAGGUGGCCACGCCAAGUCGGAUGUGAAAUCUCCCGGCUCAACUGGGAGGGGUCAUUCGAUACUGGCGGGCUCGAGGCCGGUAGGGGGAAGUGGAAUUCCCGGUGUAGAGGUGAAAUUCGUAGAUAUCGGGAGGAACACCAGUGGCGAAGGCGGCGAUCUGGGAAGAUACUGACGCUGAGGUGCGAAAGCGUGGGGAGCAAACAGG
rnacentral:rRNA from 1 species